UCCCUUAGUAGCGGCGAGCGAAACGGGAAGAGCCCAAACCAACAAGCUUGCUUGUUGGGGUUGUAGGACACUCUAUACGGAGUUACAAAGGACGACAUUAGACGAAUCAUCUGGAAAGAUGAAUCAAAGAAGGUAAUAAUCCUGUAGUCGAAAAUGUUGUCUCUCUUGAGUGGAUCCUGAGUACGACGGAGCACGUGAAAUUCCGUCGGAAUCUGGGAGGACCAUCUCCUAAGGCUAAAUACUCUCUAGUGACCGAUAGUGAACCAGUACCGUGAGGGAAAGGUGAAAAGCACCCCGGAAGGGGAGUGAAAUAGAACCUGAAACCGUGUGCUUACAAGUAGUCAGAGCCCGUUAAUGGGUGAUGGCGUGCCUUUUGUAGAAUGAACCGGCGAGUUACGAUUUGAUGCAAGGUUAAGCAGUAAAUGUGGAGCCGUAGCGAAAGCGAGUCUGAAUAGGGCGUUUAGUAUUUGGUCGUAGACCCGAAACCAGGUGAUCUACCCUUGGUCAGGUUGAAGUUCAGGUAACACUGAAUGGAGGACCGAACCGACUUACGUUGAAAAGUGAGCGGAUGAACUGAGGGUAGCGGAGAAAUUCCAAUCGAACCUGGAGAUAGCUGGUUCUCUCCGAAAUAGCUUUAGGGCUAGCCUCAAGUGAUGAUUAUUGGAGGUAGAGCACUGUUUGGACGAGGGGCCCCUCUCGGGUUACCGAAUUCAGACAAACUCCGAAUGCCAAUUAAUUUAACUUGGGAGUCAGAACAUGGGUGAUAAGGUCCGUGUUCGAAAGGGAAACAGCCCAGACCACCAGCUAAGGUCCCAAAAUAUAUGUUAAGUGGAAAAGGAUGUGGCGUUGCCCAGACAACUAGGAUGUUGGCUUAGAAGCAGCCAUCAUUUAAAGAGUGCGUAAUAGCUCACUAGUCGAGUGACACUGCGCCGAAAAUGUACCGGGGCUAAACAUAUUACCGAAGCUGUGGAUUGUCCUUUGGACAAUGGUAGGAGAGCGUUCUAAGGGCGUUGAAGCAUGAUCGUAAGGACAUGUGGAGCGCUUAGAAGUGAGAAUGCCGGUGUGAGUAGCGAAAGACGGGUGAGAAUCCCGUCCACCGAUUGACUAAGGUUUCCAGAGGAAGGCUCGUCCGCUCUGGGUUAGUCGGGUCCUAAGCUGAGGCCGACAGGCGUAGGCGAUGGAUAACAGGUUGAUAUUCCUGUACCACCUAUA
rnacentral:rRNA from 1 species